CCUACGGGGGGCAGCAGUGGGGAAUAUUGCGCAAUGGGCGAAAGCCUGAAGCAGCGACGCCGCGUGAGGGAUGAAGGUCUUCGGAUCGUAAAACUCUGUCAGCAGGGAAGAACGGUCACUGUGCUAAUCAGCAGUGAAUUGACGGUACCUGCAAAGGAAGCACUGGCUAACUCCGUGCCAGCAGCCGCGGUAAUACGGUGGGUGCGAGCGUUAAUCGGAAUUACUGGGCGUAAAGCGCUCGUAGGCGGUAUGUCAAGUCAAGGGUGAAAUCCCCGCGCUCAACGUGGGAACUGCCUUUGAAACUGGCAAACUGGAGUGUGUUAGAGGAUAGUGGAAUGCCAGGUGUAGGAGUGAAAUCCGUAGAUAUCUGGAGGAACAUCAGUGGCGAAGGCGACUAUCUGGCACAUAACUGACGCUGAGGAGCGAAAGCGUGGGUAGCAAACAGGAUUAGAUACCCGGGUAGUC
rnacentral:rRNA from 1 species